rnacentral:rRNA from 1 species
GACGAACGCUGGCGGCGUGCUUAACACAUGCAAGUCGAACGGAAAGGCCCCUUUGGGGGUACUCGAGUGGCGAACGGGUGAGUAACACGUGAGUAACCUGCCCUUGACUUCGGGAUAACUUCAGGAAACUGAGGCUAAUACCGGAUAGGAAUCCUUGCUGCAUGGUGGGGGUUGGAAAGCUUCGGCGGUUUUGGAUGGACUCGCGGCUUAUCAGCUUGUUGGUGAGGUAGUGGCUUACCAAGGCUUUGACGGGUAGCCGGCCUGAGAGGGCGACCGGCCACAUUGGGACUGAGAUACGGCCCAGACUCCUACGGGAGGCAGCAGUGGGGAAUAUUGCACAAUGGGCGGAAGCCUGAUGCAGCAACGCCGCGUGCGGGAUGACGGCCUUCGGGUUGUAAACCGCUUUCAGCAGGGGCGAAGCUUGUGGUGACGGUACCUGCAGAAGAAGCACCGGCUAACUACGUG